rnacentral:rRNA from 1 species
UUGAUCCUGCCGGACCCGACUGCUAUCAGAGUGGGACUAAGCCAUGCGAGUCAACGCAGCAAUGCGUGGCAUACGGCUCAGUAACACGUAGUCAACAUGCCCAGGGGACGUGGAUAACCUCGGGAAACUGAGGAUAAACCGCGAUAGGCCAAGGUUUCUGGAAUGGACACUGGCUGAAACCUACAUGGCCCCUGGAUUGGACUGCGGCCGAUCAGGCUGUUGGUGAGGUAAUGGCCCACCAAACCUGUAACCGGUACGGGCUUUGAGAGAAGGAGCCCGGAGAUGGGCACUGAGACAAGGGCCCAGGCCCUAUGGGGCGCAGCAGGCGCGAAAAUUCUGCAAUAGGCGAAAGCUUGACAGAGUUACUCUGAGUGAUGCCCGCUAAGGGCAUCUUUUGGCACCUCUAAAAAUGGUGUAGAAUAAGGGGUGGGCAAGUCUGGUGUCAGCCGCCGCGGUAAUACCAGCACCCCGAGUGGUCGGGACGAUUAUUGGGCCUAAAGCAUCCGUAGCUUGUUCUGCAAGUCUUCCGUUAAAUCCACCUGCUCAACAGAUGGGCUGCGGGAGAUACUACAGGGCUAGGAGGCGGGAGAGGCAAGCGGUACUCAGUGGGUAGGGGUAAAAUCCUCUGAUCCACUGAAGACCACCAGUGGCGAAGGCGGCUUGCCAGAACGCGCUCGACGGUGAGGGAUGAAAGCUGGGGGAGCAAACCGGAUUAGAUACC